AACGAACGCUGGCGGCAUGCCUAACACAUGCAAGUCGAACGAGACCUUCGGGUCUAGUGGCGAACGGGUGCGUAACGCGUGGGAACCUGCCUUUAGGUUCGGAAUAACUCCCCGAAAGGGGUGCUAAUACCGGCUAAUGUCUUCGGACCAAAGAUUUAUCGCCUUUGGAUGGGCCCGCGUUGGAUUAGCUAGUUGGUAGGGUAAAAGCCUACCAAGGCGACGAUCCAUAGCUGGUCUGAGAGGAUGAUCAGCCACACUGGGACUGAGACACGGCCCAGACUCCUACGGGAGGCAGCAGUGGGGAAUAUUGGACAAUGGGCGAAAGCCUGAUCCAGCAAUGCCUCGUGAGUGAUGAAGGCCUUAGGGUUGUAAAGCUCUUUUACCCGGGAUGAUAAUGACAGUACCGGGAGAAUAAGCUCCGGCUAACUCCGUG
rnacentral:rRNA from 1 species